rnacentral:rRNA from 1 species
UGGGGAAUAUUGCACAAUGGGCGCAAGCCUGAUGCAGCCAUGCCGCGUGUGUGAAGAAGGCCUUCGGGUUGUAAAGCACUUUCAGCGAGGAGGAAGGGUUCAGUGUUAAUAGCACUGUUCAUUGACGUUACUCGCAGAAGAAGCACCGGCUAACUCCGUGCCAGCAGCCGCGGUAAUACGGAGGGUGCAAGCGUUAAUCGGAAUUACUGGGCGUAAAGCGCACGCAGGCGGUUUGUUAAGUCAGAUGUGAAAUCCCCGCGCUUAACGUGGAACUGC